UACGGGGGGGAGCAAGCGUUGUUCGGAUUUACUGGGCGUAAAGGGCGCGUAGGCGGUCGUGACAAGUCACUUGUGAAAUCUCCGGGCUUAACUCGGAACGGUCAAGUGAUACUGUCGGACUAGAGUACAGAAGGGGCAACUGGAAUUCUCGGUGUAGCGGUGAAAUGCGUAGAUAUCGAGAGGAACACCCGUGGCUAAGGCGGGGUCUCUGGGCCGAUACUGACGCUGAGGAGCGAAAGCGUGGGGAGCGAACAGG
rnacentral:rRNA from 1 species